rnacentral:lncRNA from 1 species
GAUAGAGAGUAAACCCUUGUGUGUGGCAACGGUCUCGGAGAAUCCGUAGAUACUAUGAGCGUCAUACUCUCUUACACCGUUGUAAUGUAAAGCACUUGUUGCAAUCGUCUUGAAACCGAUGGGAGCUUGAACUCCAGUAGCGUUGAUCUUGUAAGGAGGUUCAUCCCAUCUCGUCUUGGUUAUAUUCUUGCAGUCCAAGCAACAGAUCCAACCAGGCCCUUCCCCAGUUGGACACUUCUUCCCUUUAGGGAUUGUGCACAAUCCAGAGCAAAAGUUCGAAACCUCGUUCAUGUCGAUCCAUAGACCAUCUAUAGGGACUAGUUCAUGGAAGCGGCGGAUUUCUUCACCCCACCAAGCAACAGUCUUGGGGUUGAGGAAAUCAGGAAAGUGGACCGCGCCGGGCCAUACUUGGGCCAAGAAAGGCUUUCCUUCAUACUUGAUGAACACGUCAUUCGCCAUACCUCGUUGGUACACACCGUAGCUAGAGUUGACACCAAUACCGGGGUCGUUGAUGACGACAUACUUCAUGCCCAUCUUGUGGAUUUUGUCUAAGAAGUUCAGUAGCUUGGCACGAGGGUAGCUAAUGGGACUCAACGUAAAGUCUUUUUUGGCAUUCAUGUGGUCAUCAUCGUUCCAAAUCACAUCAAGAGGGAUCUUAGCCUUUUGGUAACUGUCGACCACGUCUUCGAUAACUGAUAAGUUACGGUAUCCCCAUCUACAUUGGUGAAAUCCUACAACGUUCAUUCAAACAAAGAUUAGUAUACGCAACUACCCAUUAAUCAAAAAGUAUGGUUUAUGAAUCUGUCACAUGGCCAAAACAAAGAUUUGAUUCUCUUUUUUUUGUCAAGUCAAUAGUAGAACCGUGGACCAGUAUCAAGAUCGUACAGGGACCACGAGUCACCCUAAGGGAAGAAAAAAAAUCAACAAAAGAGGAAAGCAAUGAAACACGUCUUCACGUUCUUUUUAAAUUGGAAACCAUAAUUAGAAAGCGACCUUCACCUAUACACCCACAUGUUGGUCAACUUUCUACAAGUUGUGUCGGAGAAAGAACAGAUCCUCUUUACGAUGAAUUUCAUUACAACAUGUGUUACUUACAAAACACAUAGUUUAGUUUAAAAGCCAGAUCUUCUUUUAAUACAGAACAUUAAUCUAAUAGUUUCUCAGUAGCAAAUGAUACGCAAAUCUACUUUCGCGUGACCAUUCUUUUGACUAAAUAGUCAAACCUUAGAAAAAACCUUCAAAUGUCUCCUACUAAUUACUCGUCAUUAAGCAUGGCCACAAACAUAAUUAUUAAUAACUACCCUAUAGAGCAAAAUCGUCUUCUAAUUUUAUUUAAUUACCACAAAGAUACUCUACAGUUUUCUAAAGAUAAAUGUUUUAAAAAAAACUAAGGAUAUGACGUUUUAUAUAGAUUUUUACUAAUUAAUAAUGAUAAAUUGCAUUUUUAAAAAUAAUUAUGUUUAUUAAAUUGUUACUAAUUAAGAGCGGUCUAGCGAUUGGCGCACCCGUCAUGUGAGCUUCGUAGUUAAGCGUGUAGAGGUAAGGGAGGAUCUUGUAUCUCAUACCAAGAGCGUUACGAGCUGACUCAGCAACCGUGGCCCAUUGGUAAAGCUCUUGUCUUGGAGAGUAGUAGUUAGCGUGAUCUCUCGAAAACGGGUAGAACGCUCCCACUUCGAUCCAACGGUUACAGAGCUCCUCCGUUGGUUGAGGGUAGAAUCCACAAAUGUCUGCACCAACCAUAGGAACACCGAAGAUUCCGAAGUUCAACAUCGUUGAGAUAGACACUUGCAAGCUCUGCCACGUUCCUUGGUUAUCUCCGGUCCAGUGAGCAGCGUAUUUACCCGAACCAACAAAAGUAGACCGGGACAAAAUGAAAGGACGUUUCCCUUCGAUAGAGAGUAAACCCUUGUGUGUGGCAACGGUCUCGGAGAAUCCGUAGAUACUAUGAGCGUCAUACUCUCUUACACCGUUGUAAUGUAAAGCACUUGUUGCAAUCGUCUUGAAACCGAUGGGAGCUUGAACUCCAGUAGCGUUGAUCUUGUAAGGAGGUUCAUCCCAUCUCGUCUUGGUUAUAUUCUUGCAGUCCAAGCAACAGAUCCAACCAGGCCCUUCCCCAGUUGGACACUUCUUCCCUUUAGGGAUUGUGCACAAUCCAGAGCAAAAGUUCGAAACCUCGUUCAUGUCGAUCCAUAGACCAUCUAUAGGGACUAGUUCAUGGAAGCGGCGGAUUUCUUCACCCCAC